rnacentral:rRNA from 1 species
AUUGAACGCUGGCGGCAUGCUUUACACAUGCAAGUCGAACGGCAGCGCGGGCUUCGGCCUGGCGGCGAGUGGCGAACGGGUGAGUAAUGCAUCGGAACGUGCCCAGUAGUGGGGGAUAGCCCGGCGAAAGCCGGAUUAAUACCGCAUACGACCUGAGGGUGAAAGCGGGGACCGAAAGGCCUCGCGCUAUUGGAGCGGCCGAUGUCGGAUUAGCUAGUUGGUGGGGUAAAGGCUUACCAAGGCGACGAUCCGUAGCUGGUCUGAGAGGACGACCAGCCACACUGGGACUGAGACACGGCCCAGACUCCUACGGGAGGCAGCAGUGGGGAAUUUUGGACAAUGGGGGCAACCCUGAUCCAGCCAUGCCGCGUGCGGGAAGAAGGCCUUCGGGUUGUAAACCGCUUUUGUUCGGGAAGAAAUCCUCUGGGCUAAUACCCCGGGGGGAUGACGGUACCGGAAGAAUAAGCACCGGCUAACUACGU